CCUACGGGAGGCAGCAGUGAGGAAUAUUGGUCAAUGGGCGGAAGCCUGAACCAGCCAAGUCGCGUGAGGGAAGACGGUCCUAUGGAUUGUAAACCUCUUUUGUCGGGGAGCAAAAGACGCCACGCGUGGCGUUCCGAGAGUACCCGAAGAAAAAGAAUCGGCUAACUCCGUGCCAGCAGCCGCGGUAAUACGGAGGAUGCGAGCGUUAUCCGGAUUUAUUGGGUUUAAAGGGUGCGCAGGCGGAAGAUCAAGUCAGCGGUAAAAUUGAGAGGCUCAACCUCUUCGAGCCGUUGAAACUGGUUUUCUUGAGUGAGUGAGAGGUAUGCGGAAUGCGUGGUGUAGCGGUGAAAUGCAUAGAUAUCACGCAGAACUCCGAUUGCGAAGGCAGCAUACCGGCGCUCAACUGACGCUCAUGCACGAAAGUGUGGGUAGCGAACAGGAUUAGAUACCCCAGUAGUC
rnacentral:rRNA from 1 species